GACGAACGCUGGCGGCGUGCUUAACACAUGCAAGUCGAACGGAAAGGCCCUGCUUUUGUGGGGUGCUCGAGUGGCGAACGGGUGAGUAACACGUGAGUAACCUGCCCUUGACUUUGGGAUAACUUCAGGAAACUGGGGCUAUUACCGGAUAGGAGCUCCUGCUGCAUGGUGGGGGUUGGAAAGUUUCGGCGGUUGGGGAUGGACUCGCGGCUUAUCAGCUUGUUGGUGGGGUAGUGGCUUACCAAGGCUUUGACGGGUAGCCGGCCUGAGAGGGUGACCGGCCACAGUGGGACUGAGAUACGGCCCAGACUCCUACGGAAGGCAGCAGUGGGGAAUAUUGCACAAUGGGCGGAAGCCUGAUGCAGCAACGCCGCGUGCGGGAUGACGGCCUUCGGGUUGUAAACCGCUUUCGCCUGUGACGAAGCGUGAGUGACGGUAAUGGGUAAAGAAGCACCGGCUAACUACGUG
rnacentral:rRNA from 1 species